AUUGAACGCUGGCGGCAUGCUUUACACAUGCAAGUCGAACGGUAACAGGGUGCUUGCACCGCUGACGAGUGGCGAACGGGUGAGUAAUGCGUCGGAACGUGCCGAGUAGUGGGGGAUAACGCAGCGAAAGUUGUGCUAAUACCGCAUACGUACUGAGGUAGAAAGUGGGGGACCUUCGGGCCUCACGCUAUUCGAGCGGCCGACGUCUGAUUAGCUAGUAGGUGAGGUAAAGGCUCACCUAGGCGACGAUCAGUAGCGGGUCUGAGAGGAUGAUCCGCCACACUGGGACUGAGACACGGCCCAGACUCCUACGGGAGGCAGCAGUGGGGAAUUUUGGACAAUGGGCGAAAGCCUGAUCCAGCCAUGCCGCGUGUCUGAAGAAGGCCUUCGGGUUGUAAAGGACUUUUGUCGGGGAGGAAAUCCCCAGCGUUAAUACCGCUGGGGGAUGACAGUACCUGAAGAAUAAGCACCGGCUAACUACGUGCCAGCCGCCGCGGUAAGAC
rnacentral:rRNA from 1 species